rnacentral:rRNA from 1 species
UACGUAGGUGGCAAGCGUUGUUCGGAAUUAUUGGGCGUAAAGGGCGCGUAGGCGGCUCAUGAAGGCUGUGGUGAAAGUCCGGGGCUCAACCUCGGAUCGGCCGUGGCGACUCGUGGGCUGGAGCACUGUAGAGGCGGGUGGAAUUCCGGGUGUAGCGGUGGAAUGCGUGAGAGACGUCGAAGAACACCAGUGGCGAAGGCGGCCCGCUGGGCAGUGGCUGACGCUGAGGCGCGACAGCGUGGGGAGCAAACAGG